GACGAACGCUGGCGGCGUGCUUAACACAUGCAAGUCGAACGGAAAGGCCCUUCGGGGUACUCGAGUGGCGAACGGGUGAGUAACACGUGGGUGAUCUGCCCUGCACUUUGGGAUAAGCCUGGGAAACUGGGUCUAAUACCGAAUAGGACCACGCGCUUCAUGGUGUGUGGUGGAAAGCUUUUGCGGUGUGGGAUGGGCCCGCGGCCUAUCAGCUUGUUGGUGGGGUAAUGGCCUACCAAGGCGACGACGGGUAGCUGGCCUGAGAGGGUGACCGGCCACACUGGGACUGAGAUACGGCCCAGACUCCUACGGGAGGCAGCAGUGGGGAAUAUUGCACAAUGGGCGCAAGCCUGAUGCAGCGACGCCGCGUGAGGGAUGACGGCCUUCGGGUUGUAAACCUCUUUCAAUAGGGACGAAGCGCAAGUGACGGUACCUAUAGAAGAAGCACCGGCCAACUACGUG
rnacentral:rRNA from 1 species